CAGUGAACCUCAGACUCAAUAACAGAUCCCACACCAAAAAAUAAGGGGAGACUAAGGAAGACACUUGAUGCCAAACUCUCCAACAACACAAGCAUAAAAGCGCAGGCUUUCCUUCUGUAUCCCUCAGCCAUGGGAUAUCAAGUUCCAGCAAGACUAGGCAGCUCUUCUCCUUUAAGACUGCAUAAGGAAACCCAGCAGGAGAAAAAGGUCCCAAGAGCAGGCAACAGAGCAAGACACGGCCUUCCCUUUCCCAAUGCCAGGAGUCCCACGAGAAGAUCAAGACCCACAACUGCAGCACAUGUGCAGAGGACACAGGUCUCUGGGAUAUUCAACUUCUGGGUCCUGGUUCUCCAGGCAGUGUCAUCGUAUGGGUCUCAAGCUGGACCAGUUACUGGUUGGCCACUCCCAUAAUUUCUGCACCACCUUUGUCCCAGCAUAUCAG